CGGGGCGGGUGCCGGAGCGGGCACCUCGCGGGCGGGGCGGCGGCGGGCGGCCCAGGUGGGACUCGGCGGUCCGGCCCGGUGACCCAUCUCUGCCCCUGCGAGGACGCGGAGUUCCUGCCCGGCUCCCGGAGGGCUUCGGAAUGCAGUCGACCCUGAUCGUGUUGCCGCAGAGCACACAAGUGGCGCCCGAACAGGGACCUGAGCACAUGCAAGAGAAAGUGCACAUAUAGAUAUGAAACUUCUAACCCAUCUGUAAGAGGAAAGCGGGGAGCAAAUGGCUUCGGCUCCACCAAUAUUUGUUGGAUUCAACUUAUUUCAAUUGACAAGCCAUAUAUAACCUUACAAAUACAAGGUCGUGGGAUCCCUGGGUGGCGCAGCGGUUUAGCGCCUGCCUUUGGCCCAGGGCACGAUCCUGGAGACCUGGGAUCGAAUCCCACGUCGGGCUCCCGGUGCAUGGAGCCUGCUUCUCCCUCUGCCUGUGUCUCUGCCUCUCUCUCUGUGUGUGUGACUAUCAUAAAUAAAUAAAAAAAUUAAAAAAAAACAAAAAAACAAAUACAAGGUCGUCCCUUUGUUGGGUUGAUAGAUAAUGGGGCUGAUGUCUCUGUUAUUUCCAGGCAACACUGGCCAAAGUGUUGGCCCCUUACAGAUUCAGAGGUUUCUAUAAGGGGUGUAGGGCUACGUGUGCCCCUCAAAUAAGUGCUAACUUUCUUAAUUGGUCUACAUCAGAAGGACAUUAUGGAACUUUUCAGCCCUUUGUUCUAAAAAUAGAUAUAAACUUAUGGGGCAGAGAUAUACUAACCGACAUGGGAGUUUUCCUCACUACAGCCCCAAUAUCUAUGCCAAAUCAACAAAAAAUAGUAAGGACUUUAAUGAAUAAAAUGGGCUAUGAUCCAAGCAAAGGUUUAGGAAAAAAUUUAGAAGGAAACCCAGUCCUCAUUUGUCUUAAGGGUCAAACCACCCGAAAAGGACUGGGUUUUCAAGGGGCCACUGAACUCUCCCCAUGCACUGCCUAUUGAAUGAAAAGUAAUGACCCUGUAUGGGUAGACCAGUGGCCCCUACCAAAAGAAAAAUUAGAGGCAGCAGCAGCAUUAGCAGACGAACAGCUGCUUUUGGGUCAUCUUCAGAGCACUCACAGUCCUUGGAACACUCCAAUAUUUGUAAUUAAAAGGAAAUCAGGAAAAUGGAGACUAUUACAAGACCUCAGGGCAGUUAAGGCUACUAUGAAGCCCAUGGGGGCUUUACAGCCAGGGCUUCCCACACCCUCCGCUAUGCUCUUACAAUUCAAGAUAAUUGUGUUGGAUCUAAAAGACUGCUUUUUCACCAUUCCUCUGGCUCCCCAGGACUGUGAGAGAUUUGCCUUUUCUAUUCCUAGCAUUAAUCAUGUGGAACCCGCAAAAAGAUUUCAUUAAAAAGUUUUGCCACAAGGAAUGGCCAACAGCUCCACCUUGUGUCAAGAAUUUGUAGCUAGAGCUCUUUCGCCUUUUUGUAAAAAGUUUAAUUCCAUUGUUUACUGAAUUCAUUAUAUGGAUGAUAUUCUUGCUGCACCUACCGAGGAGGAAAUGUUGCAAGAAGCUUUCUCAAGUCUGACCAGCAAAUUGCAGCAAUUUAAUCUAGUAAUUGCUCCUGAAAAGAUACAAAGAAUGGAGCCUUUUGAGUAUCUCGGCUUCAUUGUUAAAAAUAAAAAAAAUCAGAACUCAGAAAUUAUCCAUUAGAACGCAUUUGUUAAGAACAUUAAAUGACUAUCAAAAAUUAAUGGGGGAUAUUAAUUGGAUUAGACCCUUCUUACAUAUUACAGCUAAUGAUUUAAAGCCAUUAUUUGAUACUCUUAAGGGAGACAUUACUCCCUCAUCUCCUCGCAAAUUAUCUGAAGAAGCCCAAAAGGCUUUACAGCUUGUUAAUGAUAAGUUGUCACAGGCACAUGUGACUCAGUAUGAUCUUACACAACCUUUAUAUUUAAUCUUGUUAAUGCCUUCCCAAUUACCAGCUGCGGUCAUUUGGCAAUCUCAUGGACCUUUGGAAUGGAUCCAUUUGGCCUUACAUCAAUUACAUGUUAUAAAUGAUUACACUGAAAUGUUAGCCCGGUUGAUAUUAAGAGGUCGUCAACGCAUUAUUCUCAUGAUUGGUAAAGAACCUGAUUACAUCCUGUUGCCGAUGUUAACCGCAGAUAAGGUACAAGCUUUAUUUAGUAUGAAUUUAAAUUGGCAAAUAGCCUUGUCCUGUUAUCCGGGACAGCUUAAAUAUCAUCUUCCCGCAGACAGACUUUUGCAAUUCCUUUCUACCACGUCUGUCUUCAGUUCUGCAAUUAUAGCAACAGAACCUCUGGCUAACGCCGUCACUAUAUUUGUUGAUGCUGAUAAAACAGGGCACAUUGGAAUCUACAAGGAAUCCUCUAAGGCUAAAACAACUUAUCAAAGUCAUUAUCCCACUAAGUCAAUACAAAGAACUGAACUAAAGGCUGUCCAACUGGCUUUGCAAAUGUUUCCUGAACCCUGCAAUCUAUUCACUGACAGCCACUACCUGGCUCGAGCUGUUCCAGCCUUGCCACGCGCUUACGUACUCACAAAUUGAGGAAUUAUAUCACUUAUUCUCUAGUAUUCAGCAAAUAUUACAGGACCAGACGAGCUCCUAUUUUUAUAUCCCAUAUAUGGGCUCAUACUAAUAUGCCUGGUCCCCUCUCUGAAGGCAACCACAUUGCUGAUACCAUUACUUACACUUAUAUAACAAAUGUAAACAACAAACAAUUGGCCACACAGAGUCAUGCUAGUUUUCAUCAAAAUGCCUCAACUCUUCGUCAACAAUUUCGCAUCACUAAAGAAGAGGUCCGCCAAAUAGUAAAAAACUGUCUGGCUUGUCCAAUCCACCAUCCUGUUCUUACUUACUCAAUUAAUCCCAGAGGAUUGAUGCCUAAUCAUCUUUGGCAAAUGGAUAUUACCCUCUUUCCUGCUUUCAGCCGCUUAAAAUAUAUACUUGUCUCUAUCGAUACUUUCUCUGGGUAUAUCCAUGCUACUGUACAUUCUGGAGAAGCCUUUACUGAUGUUCAAAAUCAUUUAUUCUCAGCCUUCUCCCAAAUGGGAACCCCUAAGGCCAUAAAAACUGAUAAUGGCUCAGCUUAUAGUUCCAAAGCCUUCCAGAACCUUUGUGCUACCUUUCAAAUUAAGCACUCUAUAGGAAUUCCCUACAACUCACAAGGUCAAGCCAUAGUUGAAAGAGCUAACAGUACUCUCAAAUCUUACCUUAAAAAAUUAAAAGAGGGGAAGAUACUACAGGGAACAGUGAAAUACUCUCCCCAUAUGCAUUUAACUCUAACUCUAUGUUUUAAAUUUUUUGAAUGUUGAUAAUAUAGGACAGACGGCAGCUGAACAGUUUUGGCAUCCAGAUUUUUCUCCUCUCCCUUAUGAUAGGUGGAAAGAUCCACUGACAGGCAUUUGGAAGGGCCCUGACCCUGUCCUUUGCAAGGGGCGUGGGUUUGUCUGUAUUUUCCCACAGGAUGAGGACACCCCGCGAUGGCUCCCGGAACGAUGGUGUCGACUCCUUGCCCCUACGCCGGAGACUAGCCAACCUGACGAUAACUCGCCAACAAAAAAGAAAAAGGAGACGUGUCCUGUCGUCCUAUUUGGACGGAGUGCCUUCAAAAAACACCUUUGGUCAUCUCUCCUCACGGCAUCCCUAAAUUUUCUAUCACGAACUGGUCAAGAAUGACAAGAAAGGAGCCUCUGUGCUAUGUUGCAUAUCCACCUGGUCGACCAAUGCAUAAUGUAACUAUACCCGGAGGAGUUUUUUCUACCGUCGGAAAAAAGUACCAUGCAAAACUCUAAAAAUUGGUCACCGCUAUGGGACUGGCCAAGAUGCAGAUGGCUAAGAACAGCUACACAAACACAAAGGACUCCAAUCUUACUAUACAUGCCUGUGUGCCUAGGCUGUUCUUAUUGGUGGUAGACUAUGAGACGGCAAAUUUUUCCUUCAUACAAAAUAAUGGAACUGAUAUGUUAUUUGAACUAGAAUGUAAAAAUUGUGUAUUAACCAAUUGUUGCCUGUGCACUUGCCCUCACCUCAAACAGGUCCUGUCACUAUCUUUUUGACUAUGCAACUGCCUUAUUUACUAUUACCUGUUGAGAUUAAAGGCCCUUGGUAUGCUAAUUAUGGUUAUCAGUUUGCUGUAAAAAUGCAGCUACAAUUAAAAAGAUUGGGCUGUUGAUGGCCGGUAUUGCUGCAUUGGUUGCUCUUAUAGUUACUGCUGCUGCAGCCUCUAUGGCCUUAUCCCAGGGUGUAUAGACAGCACAAUACAUUAACCACUUAGCAAAGAAAUGUCUCUUGUACGCUGUCUACUCAGGAGCGUAUAGAUCAAAAAAUUCUCAGUCGUCUUCAUGGGCUUGAAGAAGCAGAAUUUCUGGGGAAUCCACUAUCCCUGUUGAAAACCCAGAUGUCCUUGGUUUGCCAUGGCGGGUUUCAGUGUAUAUGUGUCACCCCUAUGAAGGCCACUAAUGUAACGUGGGAGCAAGUUAGAAACAUCUACAAGGAAUAUGGUUUCAUAGUAAUAUAAGUCUUGAUUUGUUGGAGUUGCAAAAGGAAAUCUCCAUUAUCAGUCAUUCUCAGAUAGGUAUGACAAACCUGGCUGAAAUGGUGGCUCGUAUCUUGGAUGGCCUGCACGGAUUUAAUCCAGGCAACCUAUUAAAAUAUUCAUUCUGGAUGUUUAUAAUUAUAUUUACUAUUGUGAUUAUUUUACCUUUUGCAUGGUGCAUGGUUCAGGCCAAGGCAAGACAACACAGAUUCAACAUGGAUGCCCAAUUACAUUUCUUCAAUCUUAAAACAAAAAGGGGGAAAUGUGGGCGGCCACGGACUAGCUGGAGUAACUAAAUCAAACCAGGCCCGGACUUGCAUCCCUCAUCCACUCAAAAGGCUCGGGAGCCUAAAGGGUGAAUAGUUGGUUGACGCUUGAGAAAGGGCUUGAGCAAUGGUUCUCAGAGCUCGCUUGUAUGUGAUCACCCACAUAACACAAUAGAUACAAUUUAUUCUGGCCUGGUCAUAAAUUUAAAUAAGGGCCUGUGCUGUCCUUGCUGGUCUGUUAACCAUAUCUAAUACUCUUUUAAAGUAUGUACAGAUAACCGUGUUACCGGAAAGAUCCACAGGUUGCAGCGCUCAGCUCAGCAGCAUGCAUCAGGAAGGUUUUAAGGUGUUAUCUGAUGGACCAUCGCUGUCCUAAUUGUGCAAACAGCCAUUACACACAAAGCAGUCGUUUGUGUUUUAACUCAUGAGAGAGAAAAAAAAUAAAGUAUGUACAUCUGGAGCAACAAGCUUAUCUAUUAACCAAGGUCUUCUGGCGCCAGUGGGUCUGUCUUACAUACUGAUAAAGGGGAACCUUGGAGGGUUUCACAAACAUGCUAAAAAUAGAUACCUCCUUAGCUUUGUUUUGCUUAUGCUAUAUAAUUUUUUUUAUAUAUAUAAUGUUGUAGAACCUUAAAUAAAGCUGACACUGCUUGGACAUCA